GGAUGCGAUCAUAGCAGCACUAAAGCACCGGAUCCCAUCAGAACUCCGAAGUUAAGCGUGCUUGGGCGAGAGUAGUACUAGGAUGGGAGAACUCCGAAGUUAAGCGUGCUUGGGCGAGAGUAGUACUAGGAUGGGUGACCUCCUGGGAAGUCCUCGUGUUGCAUCCC
rnacentral:rRNA from 1 species